CUUGGGAUUCCCUUGAGAGUUACAGGUUUAUAGUUCACAGACUGAGUUAGUGAGAGUUUAUAGUUAUACUGGUUAGUGAGUCUCGGUUUGGUUUGCGUUCAGGUUAUCGCUCAGCUUGAGGCCUGUGGGAUAGUGGAGACCAUAAACAUCAGUGCAGCAGGAUUUCCCAUCAGGUAACACUACAAACACACCUCAAUCUCUUACAACAAAUAAUUUAAUUCAAAAUAGAGAUGCACUGAUUGCAAUUUUCUUGGCUGAUUUAAAUUUUUUUGGUAAGUGUGGCCUGUCUGUACAGAUUUUUGCUGAUUCCAGUUUUCUAUGAACUAUAGGAUGUUCUCUCACUCUCAAAAUAAAGUGCUUUGUAACUGGAAAGAGGUAGAAAUACAAUUAACUGAAAAUGAGUUGCUUUAUAUAGACCCCUUAAAAGUUUGUAAACAUUGCAACGUCUCCGGGUGGGCGGGGCUUAGCUGGAGGCAAAAAGAGGCGCGGACGCAAUGUAGACAAGCGUAAACUAGCACGUUUUAGGAGGGAUUUAUUAAACAUGGAUGCAGAAGAAGGUUCGGAACUGUCCGAAUAUGUACAGUCACUGACUCUGCGGGACCGUGACAAAAAAAAAAUAAUAAUAAAAAAAGUGGGAGUUAGCAUACAUUUAUCAGUUAAUUCAGUUGAUCACUCAGUUCACUGACCAAACUGGUUAUCUGACCAAAAUAUAAUGACGAGUGGAUAACAUUACAGUAGCCUAAUUUAUUUAUUUAUUUAUUUUUAGCUAAGCCUGGUGUAGUUCUUGUAUCUUGUUCUCAUUGGAAACAUUUUAACCAGUUUUUGGAUAUUUCCUAGACAACAUAUGAAUUACUUUCGGGUGGUUUGGGGAAUUUUGUCAAGGCUUAUUGUCUAAAGUAACCUAUCGCUGGGCUAUGAUUAGCAAUGUGGAUUAUUUUAAGAGACCAUUCAAAGGAUGGCACACACAUCUAUCGCUGUAUGUUUGUUUAACAUUUAAGCUAGCUAGUGCCCUGAAGGUUGGCGACUUUUCACCUAUAAAACAUAAACUUGCUGAUUUGUACUAGAUAAAACCAACACACCAGUACAUAUGCAUAGAUUAUUUUACCUAAUAUGAAGUGUGCACUGCAAACACGAGCAUUAUUUAUGAUCGUCUCUGUCUAGUCUGUACGCCGUAUUGCAUUCAACCACAAUUGUCUUCUUGAUUUCUGUGAAGGAAUGUCGGCCGGGAUCCGGUGAAACUUUAGUUUUGAACCAAAAGUGCUGUUCCUUCUAUUCUGGCAGCCAAAAACACAACAAGACGACAUUUUAAAGUCAAAACCUCAAACUUUUAGCGCGCCUGCUAUGAGUUCUUCCUUAUGUUUUGCCUCCAGCUAGAGCGGUGACGUCACAGUGACGUAGGCGAUUAUAACAACACAGAUGUCAUUUUUCCACUGUUUAAAAAUUCAACUUUUUCCUAACCUGUUGUUGUUAUUAUUAUUAUUAUCAUUAUUACUAUUAUUAUUUAAAUUGUACUGUAAAAUUUUAAAAGAACUGAAUGUGGUAUUGCAAUCAAAUUUCUAUUUUAGAAGAGGUGCCAUAAAUUAAUUUACACCAGAAAAAUUGCAAAUGCAUAAAUAAUAUCAUAAGAUUAAUGUUUUAAAUAAAUUUUGAACAUACAAAUAAGCAAUGUUGGGGAAAUGCAAUGAUACUUUUAAAUAUGAAACCAAACCAGCAGUAGUUGGCGGCAAAUAUUUUAAUGGGCGAGUCAUUCAUUUAACCAAUUCGUUCAAACUGCUGAUUCAUUCAGAAAUUAAACAAGUGACUGUCUUAUGAGUAUUUAUGGGUUACUGAAUCAUUGACACACUCGAUUCGUUGUCUAAAAUGUAAGUCACUUGAUAUUAGCUUCUUGUUUAUUGAACUACUAUUGUGUACAUAAUAAAUGUCAUAUUGCAAUCAUGCUGAUAUUCGUGAAAACACUGUGUAAUUUCUUCGUGUAAUGUUGCUUACCUACAUCAUAUAUUAUAAACAUCUUUUCUUUCUUUCGUUAUUACAGAAUUCCUUUCAGAAUCAAAGCUAAAUUAUUUUUUGUACAGAAUCCCAUAUGGCAGUUUCUUCCAAAGAUACGGGCUGAUCACAAACACCAGACUAACUGCGCAAAUGAACCAAAUGAACAUAUCCUCCUCUCUUUUAUUCCUUUCUUCUUUUAUGAAUGCAGUACUUAAAUAAUGUGUAUCUGAAUUCCUCAGGUGAAUUACUGCAUGCUUAUUUAGAGGAUAUUUUGCAUGCAGUAAUGCAUUUGCUUGCCUUAUUUCUCUCUUCACAAUUUCCCUCUUGUCAGUCCCUCCAGGAUUUUGCGAUCGCUGAAUUUAUCGCAAAAUCAAGCAGACUCCGAAAUUUUUGCAAAAGAUCACAAAUUUUCAUAAUUGCUGGAAAUUUUCCGCAGAAUUUGGUCUUAGACGCAUAAUAUAUUUAUUACAUCUGUGAGACGUCUGCUAAAGAUCUGGGAAUCAUCUGCUGUGUACUCUGAUAAAGGUCUCUUACUUGCAUUCUAAUAAAUGUCUAUUUGACAUCUGACAGGAAACAUCUUAGAGACGUACUGCAGAUGAACAAGCACUCUGAAAAAUACAACUUGCAUAUAUAAAUGCAGAUAUUAAAUAGAUGUCUCCGAGAUGUACAUGUGUGAUUAGGGUGAGUGCUUUACUGUCAGGUGCUGGAGCCACCUUCUGUAGAAUUUAAUGGCACUGGUGCUGGUGUCCUCAAACGUUAAUCUGGAGACCUACAGUGGUUCUUGAAGUCAGAAAAGUCAUAACAGUGUUAGGAGAAUGUUGUCUGUGGUAUAUUUUCACUGCAAAACAAUAAGAAAUGCUGCAAAUAUCACCGCAAAUUUUGAGAAAAAAGCAUUUUAGGCUGCAAUAAUCAGAAAAAAGUUCCACGAAUUCCUGGAGGGACUGUCUUCUGUGUGUUAUUUAAAUCUUGGCUUAAUCUGACAAAUUUUUUUCCAAGUGUUUUUUUUUUUUUUUUUUGCAUGUGGUUUCUUGUCACUGCUUGUGGGAUUUGGCACAGAUAAGAAUUUCUUAGAUGUGCACAUUAGUUGGUUUAGUGCCAAUAAAAAGCUGUUUUACAUCUCAGAUAAACCAAGGAAGCUCAGCCUAGGUCCUGAAGAUCUACGUUUCUGCAGAGUCUAGCUCUAAUCAAACACACCUAAACUAACUAAGCUAGGUAUUUUAAAAAAUUACAGGCGUGAGUUAGAGCAGGAUUGGAAGUAAAAUCUACAGGAAGGUGGAUUUAUGGGAACAGGAUUGAACAUGUCUGCUCUAAUACCUCAAACCACCGAGAGUCAAAGCAAACUUUUAACUAAACAUGAUGCACCUAUAAGAUGACACUAAAAAGCUUGAUUUCAGUUGCUGUGAAGACAUCACAGGUGAAUAGGGUAAAGUUUUUAACUAAUAAAUGUCAUUAUACUUCCCCAGUUGAUUAAUUACAGUACAUUACGACAGUUGUUUGUAUUACAGGUUUUCUGAAAUUUUGUUUAAUAUGCAAAUGAGGCAUUAUUGAAUAAAAUAUGAAUAAAUUAUCAUACAUUUCCAGAACAUCACUCCAUACAUCAGAAAAUACUGUCAACAGUCAGAAAAAAUACUUGUUUUUAGGAAUAAACUGUUAUAUAAUCCAGGUGAAUGAUAUAUGAACAAACCCCUUUAUAAAAACCUUCAGAAUAUAGAUAGGAAAAAAAAAAGCGUAAAGUUUGGUGUAUGCAAGUGCUGCUGAAGUGGAUCUCACAGCCUUCAAAGAUAUACAUUGUAUUUGAAAUCCACAGACGCAAUUACAUAAAGUGUUAUAAAAUAAGUACCUAAUUGUGUAUUUUGGAUGUUUUCUUUCUGGUAGUCUUAAAGAAGACAUGUUACUGUGCGUUCACACCGCCAGCGUCGAGAGCGUCAAAGUGGCCGGAAGUCAUUCAUUUUCAAUGUGAGCCGGCGUCGAGGAGCGGCGCGGCGCGACUUGGCCGUUGAGAGCGUCGAGGAGAGUUGAAAUCAGGGCAACUUUAUGGUAAUGAUCUAUGACGCGGUUGGGCAGCAACCAAUCAGAACGUAGAAGUCCACUGCUUGAGAGGAUAGAGAACGCAGCUCCAACCACAUUAGUUCUCAAAAUAAAAGGUUGAUUAUUGCUGUGGUGGGUUUGCAGUAAUCUAUGAUGUGUCCCUGUUUGCGUACAGGGACAUAAAAAAUUAAUUAAAAAUGAUACGUGGACCAAGGUGUCUGAAAUUGUUCAUGUUUCUGGUGAGUUGCUGAUGUGCAGUAACGAUAUAAGAAUAAUAAUCUAAUGAUAUAAUAAAUAAUACUAGGCUACAGUAGUCCCAGUUUACUUUUUAAAAAAUUUCCUUGA
ensembl:lncRNA